AAUCUUCCACAAUGGGCGAAAGCCUUAUGGAGCAACGCCGCGUGUGUGAAGAAGGUUUUCGGAUCGUAAAACUCUGUUGUAGGGGAAGAACAAGUACAGUAGUAACUGACUGUACCUGGACGGUACCUUAUUAGAAAGCCUCGGCUUGCUACGUGCCCGCAGCCGCGGUAAUACGUAGGUGGCAAGCGUUGUCCGGAAUUAUUGGGCGUAAAGCGCGCGCAGGCGGUCCUUUAAGUCUGAUGUGAAAGCCCACGGCUCAACCGUGGAGGGUCAUUGGAAACUGGGGGACUUGAGUGCAGAAGAGGAAAGUGGAAUUCCAAGUGUAGCGGUGAAAUGCGUAGAGAUUUGGAGGAACACCAGUGGCGAAGGCGACUUUCUGGUCUGUAACUGACGCUGAGGCGCGAAAGCGUGGGGAGCAAACA
rnacentral:rRNA from 1 species